GACGAACGCUGGCGGCGUGCUUAACACAUGCAAGUCGAACGGAAAGGCUCCACUUUGCUGGGGUCCUCGGGUGGCGAACGGGUGAGUAACACGUGGGGUAUCUGCCCUGCACUUCGGGAUAAGCCUGGGAAACUGGGGCUAAUCCCGGAUAGGACCGCAUGUUGGGGUGUGUGGGGGAAAGGUUUUUUUGGUGUGGGAUGAGUUCGCGGCCUUUCGGUUUGUUGGUGGGGUAAUGGCCUACCAGGACGGGGACGGGUAGCCGGCCUGAGAGGGUGGACGGUCACAUUGGGACUGAGAUACGGCCCAGACUCCUACGGGAGGCAGCAGUGGGGAAUAUUGCACAAUGGGGGAAACCCUGAUGCAGCGACGCCGCGUGGGGGAUGAAGGCCUUCGGGUUGUGAACUCCUUUCGCUAGGGACGAAGCUUUUUGUGACGGUACCUGGAGAAGAAGCACCGGCUAACUACGUG
rnacentral:rRNA from 1 species